rnacentral:lncRNA from 1 species
GUUUCCUCCAUGCUGUUUUCAUGAUAGUGAGUUCUCAUGACAUCUGAUGAUUUAAAAGUGGCAUUUCUUCCCCACCUCCUGCUGUGAUUACUAGGAAAAAAGACAGACCAGGUGAGGAGAUGAAUGGAGUGAGAAGACAGCCCAGUGGAAUGAGAAACUAAUGAGGACCUAAAUGCCUGUGAUGGAGAAAACACAGGAAAUGGAGAAACAUAGACAACCUACAAGCAAGUAAAGAGACAAUUCCAGAAUGUUAAAAUCUAUACGGGAAUGACAGUGUCUGCAAGCCAUUGAUAUUAAAAAAUAUAGUGAGUACUACUAUAGAUGAAUAAACAACCAAAUGUCAUGUAUAAACCCUGUUUGGAUCUUGAUAUAAUCACACAGACUGCAAAAUGACAUUUUGUGAGACAUAAGGAAAAAGUGAAUAUGUUUUGGGUAUUAGAUAAUACCAAUAAAGACAGUAAUUGCUAGUUUCAUCAGGCAUGACAGAUAGUACACGGGUAAUGUUUUUUACAAAGUUCAUAAUUUUAGAAAUGCCAAGGUGAAUGAAC